GCCUUCGUGGUGUCGUGGUCAGCACACUCGAUUCGUAAUCGAGAGGUCCGUGGUUCGAAUCCCGGCAAACGCG
rnacentral:tRNA from 1 species